AUAUCAAUAAGCGGAGGAAAAGAAACCAACAGGGAUUACCUCAGUAACGGCGAGUGAAGCGGUAACAGCUCAAAUUUGAAAUCUGGGUCUUUCAGGCUCCGAGUUGUAAUUUGUAGAAGAUGCUUCGGGUGUGGCUCCGGUCUAAGUUCCUUGGAACAGGACGUCAUAGAGGGUGAGAAUCCCGUAUGUGAUCCGGGUUUGCC
rnacentral:rRNA from 1 species